GAACGCGAGUGUCCGCCCAUCCCUAUCCCCCAAAGAACUCCUCUUUAUCCAUUGACGGGAGCCGGGAGGAGUCUAAAUCAGGACCGGCGGCUGGAGCGCGAGGAUCUCGUAUCGCCCGGAUCCCAGGAUAUGCAUAUUGCGAUUAUCAAUAACAUGGAGCAUGGACGCAAUCCUGGUAACUGAUGUGAGCGGACGGUCGAUAGCAUAUAUAUACGUUUAUGAACACGCUGUUAACAUAUUAUAGACAUCUGGCCAUGGAUUGCCCACUUUGCAAAAAACCCGCCUGCCGUAUGUGGAGAUCUCGACGGACCGCCCUGCCACAUUUCAGUUCCAAUGACAACCUUCUAUUGGGUUGAAGCUGUAAGUUUGUCCCAUGCUGCAACAGGGGUGUGAUCGAGUCAUGCAUUGAGAAUAUGCGGUUCAUUGCUGCCAGAGAGAAUAAGCCCAUGUGCAAGACAUUCUUUGUAACCAGAGAACUACUUGAGUAUGAAGUGUUGAUUGAUCAUGGAGCUAAGAAGACCAGGAUUCAUGGUGAUGGCUGGCAUAGGUUUCUUGAUGAGUAUGUCGUGCGGCCUGGCGACAUGGUAUAUAUCUGCCUUCCCCGAGGCAAUGGAAGGUUUUUUGUGGAUGUCGAGAGAGAUGGCGUGAAACAUUUAUGUGAUAUGUAACAUUUUUUGGAGCAUUUUAGCUUCGUUGAAUAAUGCAUAUCAGCUUAAAAUUUUGAUCUUUUGUCCAGCUUUGAAUGGCCUGUCACUCAUGAGGCGUGAGCUCAUCGACAAUUGCGUGUACACCAGGAGUGUACCCCGUUUUGAAUAUUCAGAGAUGAAAAAAUGA